rnacentral:rRNA from 1 species
UGGGGAAUAUUGGACAAUGGGCGAAAGCCUGAUCCAGCAAUACCGCGUGUGUGAAGAAGGCCUUCGGGUUGUAAAGCACUUUAAGUUGGGAAGAAAAAGCUUCACCUAAUACGUGAAGCCUUGACGGUACCGACAGAAUAAGCACCGGCUAACUCUGUGCCAGCAGCCGCGGUAAUACAGAGGGUGCUAGCGUUAAUCGGAUUUACUGGGCGUAAAGCGUGCGUAGGUGGUUUGAUAAGUCGAUUGUGAAAGCCCCGGGCUUAACCUGGGAAUUGCGGUCGAUACUGUCAGACUCGAAAACGGUAGAGGGAGGUGGAACUCCAGGUGUAGCGGUGAAAUGCGUAGAUAUCUGGAAGAACACCGAUGGCGAAGGCAGCCUCCUGGGCCUGUUUUGACACUGAGGCACGAAAGCGUGGGUAGCAAACAGG